GUGACAACAGGCGAUGUUUGUUGUCAUAUCUGUUUUUGUUGUGAAGAGCAAAGGCGAGGAUCAUCUUUGCUCGGAUGGACCUGUGGUGGACAUUAUAGAGAGGUAGAAUGUAAAACACCAUGGCUGGUUUUGAAACGUACCAGGAGUAUCAGCGAAUAGAAGACUAUGAGGAAGACUCCCCUCCAGGAGAGGAAGAUUUACUCAUCCAUGUGCCAGAGGGAAGAGGAGACCCAUGGCAUCAUAUCAAGAACCUCGACAAUUUCUUCACAAGAAUCUAUCAUUUCCAUCAGAAGAAUGGAUUCGCCUGUAUGGUGUUAUCAGAGUUUUUUGAACUUGUGCAAUUCCUGUUUGUAGUCACGUUUACAACUUUCCUCUUCAACUGUGUGGAAUAUGAUGUUCUCUUUGCCAACCGAGUGAUCAACCACACGGGUCAGAGUCCACUCGGUCCACUGGACAGGAACAAGGUCACCCUUCCUGAUGCGAUUUUACCCGGCGAGCAGUGCACUGAGAGGAUUCAAGGAAACAGCUGGAUCAUCUUCCUCUUGAUAAUGGCAGCCAUUUUCUGGGUCUAUCGACUCGUGAAGGUGAUCUGCAACGUCCUCCGCUACUGGGAGAUCCGACAGUUUUAUAAAAAAGCACUGAAAAUACAGAUGGAUGAGCUGUGCAACUUCACCUGGCAAGAAGUUCAAGGCCGUUUGAUUCACCUGCAGCGUGAGCAGCCCAUGUGCGUCCAGAAGCGUGAACUUUCUGAACUAGACAUCUACCACCGCAUCCUGCGCUUUAAAAACUACACAGUGGCCAUGAUCAACAAGUCCCUGCUGCCCGUCAGACUGCGUGUGCCCUUCUUCAGUGACAUGAUCUUCCUCACGCAGGGCCUAAAAUACAAUUUUGAGCUCAUUCUGUUCUGGGGCCCUCUGUCGCUCUUCCAGAACAAGUGGAGUCUGCAUCCCAAAUACAAACGGGCGGCAAACCGGCAGGAGCUCGCCAAGCAGCUCAGCCGCAUCAUCCUGUUGACUGGUCUGGUCAAUCUGCUGCUGUGUCCUUUCGUGCUGGUGUGGCAGGUGCUGUACGCAUUCUUUAGCUACGCUGAAGUCAUCAAGCGCGAGCCGGGAAGUUUGGGGGCCCGGCGCUGGUCUCUGUACGGCCGUCUCUACCUGCGCCAUUUUAACGAGCUGGAUCACGAGCUGCAAGGCAGGCUGGGUCGUGGGUACAAACCCGCCGCCAAAUACAUGAAUGCUUUUGUUUCUCCUCUGCUGGCGGUGCUGGCCAAAAACGUGGCUUUCUUCUCCGGCUCGGUGCUCGCCGUGCUCAUCGCUCUGACGGUGUACGAUGAAGACGUGCUGACUGUGCAGCACAUCCUGACGGCCAUCACCGUACUUGGACUGGUCAUCACCAUCACCAGGUCGUUUAUUCCAGAUGAACAUAUGGUGUGGUGUCCUGAACAGCUGCUUCAGUGUGUCCUGGCCCACAUUCACUACAUGCCCGACCACUGGAAGGGCAACGCCAACAAGAGCGAGACCCGUGACGAGAUGGCACAGCUUUUCCAGUAUAAAGCGGUCUUUAUAUUGGAGGAGCUUCUGAGUCCCAUAAUUACUCCCUUCAUCCUCAUCUUCCCCCUGCGGAGCAAGUCCUUAGAAAUCAUCGACUUCUUCCGCAACUUUACCGUCGAUGUGGCAGGGGUGGGAGACAUUUGCUCAUUCGCCCAGAUGGACAUCCGGCACCAUGGAAAUCCACAGUGGAUGUCCGAAGGUCAGACCGAGGCCUCGGUGUACCAACAGGCUGAGAACGGGAAGACGGAGCUGUCUCUGAUGCAUUUCACCAUCAAAAACCCGCGCUGGCAGCCGCCGCGGGAGAGCUCCGUGUUCAUCAGCCACCUGAAGGAGAAGGUGCAUCAGGACGCUCAGACAGGACCAUCUCCUCAACUGCUGCUGUCCGAGGCUCCUCUCUGCACCUCGCUGCUGUCCAACGAGUCUGCCACGGGUCCUGAUAACCUGUUAGCCAGUGUGUUGGCUCACCCCGUACUGACCGCCUCCGGACUGCCUGGGAGGAACCGCCGCUUCGUCCCGCCGAGCAGCACAGCUUCAGCUGCCGCUAGUGUCCUGGCGUCCCUUUCGUCGUCUCAGCAGCCUCACGCCGGCCGGUCUCGCUCACACACUCUCCUGCCAUCCCGACAGAGCCAUGACAGCACCAUGUACUGCAGCGACCACACUGUGGGCGACAGCAUGUCUGCAAGUGACUCCAGGCUGCUCAGCCAGUCUUAUUCGGCUCUGGCGUCAGAGUUUGCAUCGGCCGAGAUGAGCCUGCACGCUAUAUACAUGCAUGAGGUGCAUCAGCAAAAGACCCAGCAUGCAUCUGGACCGUUUCAGGCCUCUGUGCCAAUGAGGGAGUUGAGCACCAACAGUGCUCAAGGUCCUCAGAUACAGUCCGCACAGACAGUCACAGACAGUCACCGCUUGGGCGGCUGGGCUGAAGAGGAGGAAGAGGAGGAGCAGGCGGACGAGGAAGAGAUAAAUACCAGCCCUGUGCCGGAUCAGACCAGCAGAGGGAGCAGCUGAAGUGCCUUCAACCUGUACAGUGCGUUCCACAGGAUUCAAUUUGGACUCAGACUAUUUUUGUUCAUUUCUAGGAGUUGUGGCCUUCCUUUGGUUUGACACCCUUUGAUCAAGCAUGUUGGGACGCCACACCGAGCAUGUCGCUCAAGGAGCUCGUCGGAGCCGUUCGGUUCUCUGGACGCAGAGGAACUGUGACGUAACGGGCUGCCACUUCCCCUCCCUCGUCACGUCAGUUACAUUUACAUUUCAGACUGCUGUGUGUUUGUUUUGUUUAUGACACAACAGGGUGACACUUGUUUUACAGUAUUUAUUUCCAUUUUAUUUUCUUUCAUGCAACGUUUCUUUUAUUUGGGUUCGAGCAAGUUAAGUUUUCCGCAUCUCUGAUUCGAAGGCGAGUCGGGGCAGUAUUUACUUUUGAAGCACUGCCUCGGUUUGCAGGAUGAAAACAUCCUUUUAUCGUAGUAUUGCUAGUUUCAUUUUUGCAUUACAGCAUCGGCGGACAGAAAAUAUCACUGAAUGUAAAAUCAUACCAGUUGCCUCGUGAAAAAAAAAAAAUGGUCUCAAAGUUAUUUUUUUUUUCUUAAAGUAAAUAUAAUAUAGACUUGGGGAUAAUUUUCGCCUAAAGAACAUUUUUAUUUAAAUUAAAAGUAAUUCGCAUUUGCAGACGUUUUGACAAAUCUUAACAAUAACCUCUUAGCCUGAGAUUAUAAAAAGGUUAAAUUUAAACGAGAAAAAAGAUUUUAGCAAUAAAACUCAUCACGCUUUACCAAAAAGCAUUUGAUGUAGAAGCAAACGCACAAAAUAAAUAAAAUUUGUCAUGUCUGUCAUGAGCAUUUCAUCUACAGCAACAAAUAUAUUAAAACAUCUUAGACGACCAUAUGACUGUAUUAAAGGAUUUUUGUUAUUUAAAUUAUUCUAAAGCUAUAAGAAGGAUUAACUACUAAACUUAAGAGUUAAUGUGGAAAACCCGAUAAACUUAUUCAAAUGAAAGCAUUU